rnacentral:rRNA from 1 species
AUGAACGCUGGCGGCGUGCCUAAUACAUGCAAGUCGAGCGAACAGAUAAGGAGCUUGCUCCUUUGACGUUAGCGGCGGACGGGUGAGUAACACGUGGGUAACCUACCUAUAAGACUGGGACAACUUCGGGAAACCGGAGCUAAUACCGGAUAAUAUGUUGAACCGCAUGGUUCAAUAGUGAAAGAUGGUUUUGCUAUCACUUAUAGAUGGACCCGCGCCGUAUUAGCUAGUUAGUGAGGUAACGGCUCACCAAGGCAACGAUACGUAGCCG